rnacentral:rRNA from 1 species
UGGCGGACGGGUGAGCAACACAUCGGAAUUUGCCCGGUUGUGGGGGAUAACGUAGGGGAAACUUACGCUAAUACCGCAUACGACUGCAGGGUGAAAGCGGGGGAUCUUCGGACCUCGCGCGAUCGGAUGAGCCGAUGUCGGAUUAGCCUACGUUGGCAGGGGUAAGAGCCCACCAAGGUCGACGAUCCGUAGCUGGUCUGAAGCAGGAUGAUCAGCCACGACUGGGACUGAGACAGCGGUCCAAGACUCCUACGGGAGGCAGCAGUGGGGAAAUAUUGUGACAAUGGGGGCAACCCUGAUCCAGUCAAUGCCUGCGUGUGUGAAGAAGGCCUUCGGGUUGUAAAGCACUUUUAUCCGGAACGAAACGCGCAGGGUGAAUAUCCUUGUGAACUGACGGUACCGGAGGAAUAAGCACCGGGUAACUUCGUGCCAGCAGCCGCGGUUAAUACGAAGGGUGCAAGCGUUACUCGGAAUUACUGGGCGUAAAGCGUGCGUAGGCGGUUUCUUAAGUCCGUUGUUGAAAAGCCCUGGGCUCAACUGGGAAUGGCAGUGGAUACCUGGGGAGCUCAGAGUGCGGUUAGAGGACCGGUGGAAUUCCCGGUGUAGCGGU